rnacentral:rRNA from 1 species
AGCUGCGGCAGCGACACUAUGUGUUGUUGGGUAGGGGAGCGUUCUGUAAGCCUGCGAAGGUGACCUGUGAGGGUUGCUGGAGGUAUCAGAAGUGCGAAUGCUGACAUAAGUAACGAUAAAGCGGGUGAAAAGCCCGCUCGCCGGAAGACCAAGGGUUCCUGUCCAACGUUAAUCGGGGCAGGGUGAGUCGACCCCUAAGGCGAGGCCGAAAGGCGUAGUCGAUGGGAAACAGGUUAAUAUUCCUGUACUUGGUGUUACUGCGAAGGGGGGACGGAGAAGGCUAUGUUAGCCGGGCGACGGUUGUCCCGGUUUAAGCAUGUAGGCUGAUUGUCCAGGCAAAUCCGGAUAAUCAAGGCUGAGGUGUGAUGACGAGGCACUACGGUGCUGAAGUAACAAAUGCCCUGCUUCCAGGAAAAGCCUCUAAGCAUCAGGUAACAUUAAAUCGUACCCCAAACCGACACAGGUGGUCAGGUAGAGAAUACCAAGGCGCUUGAGAGAACUCGGGUGAAGGAACUAGGCAAAAUGGUGCCGUAACUUCGGGAGAAGGCACGCUGGUGUGUAGGUGAAGUCCCUGCGGAUGGAGCUGAGACCAGUCGAAGAUACCAGCUGGCUGCAACUGUUUAUUAAAAACACAGCACUGUGCAAACACGAAAGUGGACGUAUACGGUGUGACGCCUGCCCGGUGCCGGAAGGUUAAUUGAUGGGGUUAUCCGUAAGGAGAAGCUCUUGAUCGAAGCCCCGGUAAACGGCGGCCGUAACUAUAACGGUCCUAAGGUAGCGAAAUUCCUUGUCGGGUAAGUUCCGACCUGCACGAAUGGCGUAAUGAUGGCCAGGCUGUCUCCACCCGAGACUCAGUGAAAUUGAACUCGCUGUGAAGAUGCAGUGUACCCGCGGCAAGACGGAAAGACCCCGUGAACCUUUACUAUAGCUUGACACUGAACAUUGAGCCUUGAUGUGUAGGAUAGGUGGGAGGCUUUGAAGCGUGGACGCCAGUCUGCGUGGAGCCAACCUUGAAAUACCACCCUUUAAUGUUUGAUGUUCUAACGUUGGCCCCUGACCGGGGUUGCGGACAGUGUCUGGUGGGUAGUUUGACUGGGGCGGUCUCCUCCCAAAGCGUAACGGAGGAGCACGAAGGUUAGCUAAUCCUGGUCGGACAUCAGGAGGUUAGUGCAAUGGCAUAAGCUAGCUUGACUGCGAGCGUGACGGCGCGAGCAGGUGCGAAAGCAGGUCAUAGUGAUCCGGUGGUUCUGAAUGGAAGGGCCAUCGCUCAACGGAUAAAAGGUACUCCGGGGAUAACAGGCUGAUACCGCCCAAGAGUUCAUAUCGACGGCGGUGUUUGGCACCUCGAUGUCGGCUCAUCACAUCCUGGGGCUGAAGUAGGUCCCAAGGGUAUGGCUGUUCGCCAUUUAAAGUGGUACGCGAGCUGGGUUUAGAACGUCGUGAGACAGUUCGGUCCCUAUCUGCCGUGGGCGCUGGAGAAUUGAGGGGGGCUGCUCCUAGUACGAGAGGACCGGAGUGGACGCAUCACUGGUGUUCGGGUUGUCAUGCCAAUGGCACUGCCCGGUAGCUAAAUGCGGAAGAGAUAAGUGCUGAAAGCAUCUAAGCACGAAACUUGCCCCGAGAUGAGUUCU